rnacentral:lncRNA from 1 species
UGCAAUAGUAGCAAGAAGAACUACGUUUUACCUCCCGGAUGGAACUAAAUUGUUAGCCUCCAGCGUGGAACACAUGGAACAAGGACAGUGGUCCCAAAGUACGCACGGACAAGUCACGCCUAGACACCACGUAAAACAUCGCGAAAAGAAAAUCACUCCAAGGAGAUUUUACUUAGAUUGUUGUGUUGGAGAAUAGCAUGCUACGUGGUUUGAUAAGAGGCCAUGUCGAUUUUGUCACUUUCACCACCUUAGCAUGAGAAUUUUAACCAUGACGAGAGUUAUUUUGACAUCACACAACACAAAUUCAACCCACCUGUCAUUACAAACAAA